UCCCUGGUAGCCUAGUGGGUUAAGGAUCCAGCAUUGUCACUGCUGUGGCCCAGGUUCCAUCCCUGGCCAGGAAC
rnacentral:tRNA from 1 species